rnacentral:rRNA from 1 species
CCUACGGGAGGCUGCAGUGAGGAAUAUUGGUCAAUGGACGCAAGUCUGAACCAGCCAUGCCGCGUGCAGGAAGACGGCUCUAUGAGUUGUAAACUGCGUUUGUACGAUGGUCAAUCCCGAUACGUGUAUCGGGUUAAAAUUAUCGUACGAAUAAGGAUCGGCUAACUCCGCGCCAGCAGCCGCGGUAAUACGGAGGCUUCAAGCGUUAUCCGGAUUUAUUGUGUUUAAAUGGUGCGUAGGUGGUUAGAUAUGUAAGAGGUGAAAUCCCGGGGCUCAAUUCCGGCAGUGACUCUGAUACUGUCGGGCGAGAGUUUAGUUGCGGUAGGCGGAAUGUAUGGUGUAGCGGUGAAAUGCAUAGAGAUCA